GGCAGAGGAGAGAGGCGUCAGGCUCUCUGCACGGCAGCAGCUGGGGCCAGAUCAGCUUUAGCUUGUCCCCAAACCCGUGUGGGGUGAGAUGCCAGAACCAAUUAACCUCGUGGCCAAAUCCAGGGAAAUUAGAUUUCCUUAAUUCUGAUUCUCACUAAGUUGUUUGAUUAUCAUGACGGACAACUCUUGGCAAUUGUUUUUUUUCCUGCCAACGGUAUCUUGUUGCCCGUGGUACCAGGCGCUGCUCUGGUUUGGCACAGCGGUGACCCAGUGAACACUGUCACUCUUACUUGAGCAGUGCACAGCACGGCUCAGUGCUUGACAGUGUUAAAACUGAAAUUUUGUGCCAUCUAUACCUUAGUGCCUGAGCCGGCUAUGAUCUGGGUCACGUCCAAAGCUCCAGUCUAAGAGUCAGGCUUGUCUGGGUUAUCUUCACAUGGCAGUGGAAUUCCAAGGCAUAACUGAAAGGCUAAUUUUAACUUCAGUAUUCAUGUGCAUGAAUACUUGUUCCUGUGUAGUGAAUGAGAGAAGAGCAGCUGAUGAUGGAGAAAAGAAGGACCACUAGAAGGUUGUGAAAGUCUCCAGCUAGCUCACAGCAUGCCCAGGCACAGCUGUCCCAGAAGUCUCUUUUUGCAUUGCUUAAAUGAAAUAGCUGUACAGAAAUGGAGAAAAUAAUGGGAAAACAGGGACUUAAACUGCUGUAUGGCACCUCAUGGAAAAUGGGAUUUGAAUGAGUCAACCCAUUCUCCUACUGUGGUCCCGGCAACAAGCUGGAAAAAGGCAAGCAGAGGGUGUACAAAUGAUGUACAAGUGACUGGAAUGAUGUACAAAUUACCAGAAUUACGAGGUAGGGGGGAGGCAUCUGAGAUAUAGAAGGGAGCUGAGGGUAUUGGAAGGAAGUACAGGAAGCAAAGAGAAAGGCUGGAAGAAUAUUUUGAUGGCAUCGUGGUGGGAAGUUGUAAUGAACACAGAAUACAAAUUUAUUAAAAAACAACCUACAUUGGUUUUAACACUCAUGAAACACAGUAGUGGUUUCAUAGUUCAGCACUGUCUUAUUUUUGGUGAGAAAAACUAAGUAUGCCUUUAUCAAUAUGUUGUUAUUGACCAUGGGGGGAUUCAAGCUACUUGAAAGUAAUUGUAAUUACUUGUAAUUUUUGUAGUUUUAAAAAAGUUAUGAAAAAUCCUGAACCGAAAUUCUUUUAACUUGGGUACAGCACUGUGAGCUGGUUACCUUGAGCUACCUGGAGCUGAUCUAGAUGCCUGGAGCUAAACACUUCUGAAAAUUUGUCUGCAGUGUGUUGUAGGACGCUUUUUUGUCAUUAUCAGCUCAAUGAGAAAUACUGUGUGCAGCUAGAGGAUACAGAUGCUGUUCACACACUACAUAAAUGCAUUUUGUAAAAAUAUACCCUUAGGAAGGCUUUUUUAAGGGAUUCUUCUGAAUGUAUCUAAGGAAGUAUGUGAUUGAACAGCUCUGUAGAGGGAUGCUUCAAAAUGUGUUGAGGAGCUUUGGUGGUUUAUUAGACUGUAUGGUUGUCAGAGAGAAAGCAUUGGAAAUACAAUGUAUUUGUGCAUGAUUAUUCACAUUGUAAUUGCCACUCUAUCCUCAACUGUAUUUUGGUAAUGGGAAAAGUAACAGCAGGAAAAUGAGUGGAAUUAUUAUUUGUAGACCUGCAGUGACUAACAGUGGCCUGAAAACUUAAUGGACCUAUGAAAGAACACUCUGUCUGCAGAGUGUUGUCCACAGGAAAGUCUCUGUACAGCAACUGCCCACCCAGGGCUGCUGUGUGGUGUUACAGUGCAGCAGGGAGCACAGUGUUUCUCUGGGGGCUGUUCACCUAGCUCAGCUAUCGUGAUUUUCAAACGGGACUUUCAAUACUGCACUGGAAAGAGAUUUUCACACUUUCUCAGUUUGUAAAAGGCAGUUUCAGACCCUAUUGUAAGGUGUGUAGAGCCAAAUAGCUGUUGAUUAAUGCCUUAUCUUCUGUGCCUGGAGAAUUUUAUGGAAUACAGUGAAUAAAAGGCUAAUUUGUCUCCUAAAGCAUAUAUUGAUAUAUAUGUGAUUUUCUGCACUACCUAACUUGGGUUAAUGGAGUGUUGCUUCAAUGUAUUGUGUUUCUGGCAUGUUCUGACUGUAUCCAUAAUGUCUUUGUAUGGCCUGAACUUCCUGUUCAUUACAAAUUGGUGAACUGCAGUAAGCAGUUCAACAAACAAGCAUUUCUUAAGCUGCCAAACUCAAAACCUGAAUGACCUAAAGAGAAGUGCAAUCAGACCUGCCAACCAUAAACAAUAAAUACUUCUAAAAUACAGAAUGGCUUACAAAUAAAAUAAAACUGAAAAGUUAGGUUGACCUGCAG